rnacentral:misc_RNA from 1 species
UUAUAUCGUAAAGGUCGAAUGAUAAAAAUUUAAAUAGUUUACCGGUUGCUACAGGGAUUAUCAAUGAAUCGUCACUUAAAUUUUUUACGUUUCGUACCACGUAAAGUCACUAGAUUAAAGGUAUAAGAUAAUCAAAAGCGUACCUCUAAUUGAUAAUUAAUGCCUCUUUGUCAUCCUAUCACUUAUAAGAAUAUAAUCGUAUAUUUCGUUGUUCGCCGAUAGUAACAGUUCGUUGUUCUAAUAUAGUAGUGUUUAUAUGUAGAGAAGAAAUUAAAUUAUAUUAAAAUGGUGACAAAAGUGAAUGUUAUCUUAAUGCAAAAUCUGCAUUUCAUUCAACUUCUCUUUACAUCAGAACUCAUAUGAAAAUGACUGAUAAGUUGAAAUUUCUGUGCUUUAUGAAGAGAUUGGGUGGUCCUCCAAUUACAGUCACAUGCAUGGGUUUUUUUGCCAUUAAUAAGACUUUCAUUUGUAGAGCUUAUAAAGCUCUGUCCUCAAGCUUUACUACUAUAUUAGAAAUUCAGAACUCCGAAAAGCACUGCCUUAAUUCAACAGAAGAUAUGUUGAAACAGUUUAUUUGAAUGAUAAAAAAAUAUAUUUGUGUUUAUUAAAUUAACAGCUUUGUAUUUGAAAGUAUUAAUUAAAGUAGAUUUGGUGAUUAAAAUUCAUAAUUUAAUAAGUAUUUGCACUCGAAGUAUUUUAAUUAAAAUUUUACAGACGUAUUCAGAUGUAAUUGUUUACUGAUAAGAAGUGUGUAAUGAAUAAAUUGGAUUAUAAAAAAAAAUUUUUAUAUGUAUAAUGUCAAGUAUGCGAUAAAAUCUCACAGUACAUCUCAGGCACUGUUGUAUGCAUUAAUUUUCUUAAAUAAAUUGACUUU